GUGUGUGUGUGUGUGUGUGUGUGUGUGUGUGUGUGUGUGUGUAGCUCAGAGCUGGUUUGUUUUCAGGGUCUGGUCUGUGACAGAAUCAGUUUGAACAACAGGACGUCUGAAUGUGGACACACACAUACAAACACAGGUGUCCGUCUCACCAUGUGUGACCGAGGUGGGAGGAGUCUCAAGGUGUACCUGGACUUAAGCCACACACCCUACCCACCUGGCCUGUUGCCAGGCAACACACUGAGGUUGUCUGCUUUCCAGAGGAGGUUGUCCAGGACAGGAAGUGUGUACUGCAGUAUGUUACCUGUCG